rnacentral:lncRNA from 1 species
UAGCUGCCCUCAUGCCUAGCCCUCUUCUCGCUGCCCCCUUGGGCCUCGCGACGAAGAUGCUCCAUAGUACUAGCAUGGUCAACUACGUCUAAAAAAGAUCGACCCGCAGAAACUAAGGACUGGGUCUCAAGCCGAAGCUGCAAUCUCAACCCACGAACAAAGCACCUAACUCGCUCCUCCUCUGUAGGUAAUAUCAUCUCAGCAUAACGGGAGAGCUCGUGGAACCUAGUCUCGUACUCUGCCACCGACAUGGAGCCCUGCUCCAACCUGCAAAACUGAUCCCUGAGGCGGUCUCUGACGCUACGAG